AAAGAAUUAGUUAAAUAAAUAACAUUAGAUUGUCAAACUAAAAUUAUCUAUUAGAUAUUCUUUU
rnacentral:tRNA from 1 species